AUGAAGACCUUCAUCAUAUUUGUCCUCCUUGCCAUGGCGAUGAACAUCGCCAGUGCCAGUAGGCUGCUAAGCCCUAGAGGCAAGGAAUUGCAUACUCCACAAGAACAAUUCCCCCAACAACAACAAUUCCCCCAACCACAACAAUUCCCCCAACAACAAAUCCCCCAACAACAUCAAAUCCCCCAGCAACCACAACAAUUCCCCCAACAACAACAAUUCUUCCAACAACAACAAAUCCCGCAACAACAAAUCCCCCAACAACAUCAAAUC
rnacentral:rRNA from 1 species